rnacentral:sRNA from 1 species
GUCCUAAGUUACGACUUUUCCAAUGAUUCUCUGGUUAAGAACGAGAACUUCUUACUUAACUUAAUCAUUAAUAAAGGUAGAUGGAUAGACUGAAGAUGUUACUGAAAUGCUUUUGUUUCAACCUCAUUGAUUUAAUUUUCUGUUAUCCUUUGGCAGAAGUUCUGGGAAAUGGUAUAAAUAUGUAUAAGUACAUACAUAUUUUGGGGUUUUUAAUUUUUUUUUAUUUCAGUGGCUUUUGGGGUACAAGUGGUUAUUGGUUACAUGGAUGAAUUGUAUAGUGGUGAAGUCUGAGAUUUUAGUGCACCCGUCACCUACCUGAGUUUUGUUUUUAAGAUUGAAACAUUAUUUGAUAUAUCCAUCAUCCUCCUCUUGGUGCCCUUUGUUCCUAUAUCUGAAAAAUUUUUUUACUGAAUUUCUAGGUUGUGAUAAUUUUAAUUCCCAUUGUUAGUACCUUAGUACCUAGUCAUAUAUUUUCCAGUUCUGUAGGAUUUUAAGCAGAAAAAUUAAGCAAAUAUGCUUUCAAGUGUCUAAUAUGAAGAGAAAAUUUGAUCACUUUUAUGAUAAUAGUUUUUUUUCUCUUCCUAAUAUAGGAGAUUUUUCAAGAGCUUGGGAUGUUCUUCUUGACCAUAUACAGUCAGCAGCACUCAGCAAAAACAAUGAAGUAUCUCUGGCUGCUCUGAAAAGCUUCCAGGAAAUUUUACAGAUUGUGUCCCCUGUCAGAGACUCAGAUAAGCCUGAGACACCACCUGUAGUUAAUGUACCUGUGCCUGUUCUUAUAGGGCCCAUAUCAGGCAUGAGCAGGCCAUUUGUAAGAACAGAUUCCAUUGGAGAAAAACUUGGAAGAUAUAGUAGCUCUGAGCCACCCAUUGUUACUGAUGAGCUUGAAGAUUUGAAUCUAUGGUGGGCUGCGUGGAAUACCUGGUAUAGAAUUGGAUCUGAAAGUACUAAGCCUCCUAUUACUUUUGAUAAACUAACUUUUAUUCCUAGCCAGCCUUUUCUUACAGCUUUAAUUCAGAUAUUUCCAGCUCUCUACCAACACAUAAAAACUGGUUUCAAUAUGGAUGACUUGCAAAAGUUGGGAGUCAUAUUGCACAGUGCUAUUUCAGUCCCAAUAAGUUCAGAUGCAUCCCCUUUUAUUCUUCCAUCUUAUACCGAAGCAGUUUUGACAAGUUUACAGGAAGCUGUACUUACAGCUUUAGAUGUUCUCCAAAAGGCCAUUUGUGUAGGACCAGAAAACAUGCAGAUAAUGUAUCCAGCUAUAUUUGACCAGUUGUUGGCAUUUGUAGAAUUUUCAUGUAAACCUCCACAGUAUGGACAGCUGGAAACAAAGCACAUUGCAAAUGCAAAAUAUAAUCAGGCGGAAUGGGUAGCCUUGAAUUAUGUGCCGUUUGCUGAAAGGUCUUUAGAAGUAGUUGUGGAUUUAUACCAAAAAACAGCGUGUCACAAAGCAGUGGUGAAUGAGAAAGUGCUCCAGAAUAUUAUUAAGACUCUUAGGGUUCCUCUCAGUUUGAAGUAUUCCUGCCCUUCUGAAAGCACAUGGAAACUAGCAGUAUCCUCUCUCCUCAGAGUUCUUUCUAUUGGGCUACCUGUUGCCCGGCAGCAUGCUUCUUCUGGAAAAUUUGACAGUAUGUGGCCAGAACUAGCCAAUACUUUUGAAGAUUUUCUCUUUACUAAAAGCAUACCUCCAGAUAAUCUCUCUAUUCAAGAGUUUCAAAGAAAUGAAAAUAUUGAUGUCGAGGUAGUUCAACUUAUCAGCAAUGAGAUACUACCUUAUGCCAAUUUUAUUCCUAAGGAAUUUGUUGGUCAAAUAAUGACAAUGCUUAACAAGGGCUCAAUACAUUCUCAGUCAUCUUCAUUUACAGAAGCAGAGAUUGAUAUUCGUUUGAGAGAGGAAUUUUCUAAAAUGUGUUUUGAAACAUUACUCCAGUUUUCCUUCAGUAAUAAAGUCACAACACCUCAAGAAGGCUACAUCUCACGAAUGGCACUCUCAGUGCUUUUAAAGAGGUCCCAAGAUGUACUACAUCGCUAUAUAGAGGAUGAAAGAUUAAGUGGUAAAUGCCCUCUUCCAAGGCAACAAGUAACAGAAAUUAUAUUUGUUUUAAAAGCAGUCAGUACUCUUAUUGAUUCACUUAAGAAAACUCAGCCUGAGAAUGUUGAUGGAAAUACCUGGGCACAAGUAAUUGCCUUAUACCCAACUUUAGUAGAAUGCAUCACCUGUUCUUCUUCAGAAGUCUGUUCUGCACUUAAAGAGGCACUAGUUCCUUUUAAGGAUUUCAUGCAGCCACCAGCAUCCAGAGUUCAAAAUGGAGAAUCUUGACCGGCUACAAUAUAUUUGAAAGCAGGAAGAUAGUCUAAAAAAUGUUUGCUCCUAAUUGAGUCUUCUGUGAGAAGGACAUUUCUUAUUGCAAAUAAUUCUUGGCAGCUGUUGUUGGCCUCCUUUAUAUUCUACUUACCUGAGUUCAGUAAUUCAUAUUACAGGCUUGCACAUCAACAAAGGCUCCUGAAUGAACAGCAGUGUAAGGCUUUAAUAAAUUAAACUGAUGGGAGGGAUAAUUAACACUACAGUAUACAUGCUACCAUAUCUCCAGUUGGUGAUUUAAAGUGAGCUUAUGUACAGUUUGUGGUGUAUGUGUUAAUGAUGUACUUUUU